rnacentral:rRNA from 1 species
UGGUCCCACCCGAUCCCAUCCCGAACUCGGCAGUGAAACGCACCCGCGCCAAUGGUAGUGUGGCAGUUGCCAUGCGAGAGUAGGUCACCGCCAGGG